UACGGGGGGGGCAAGCGUUGUUCGGAAUUACUGGGCGUAAAGGGUCUGUAGGUGGCUUGCUAAGUCAGACGUGAAAUCCCUCGGCUUAACCGGGGAACUGCGUCUGAUACUGGCGAGCUUGAGUGCAUGAGAGGAACGCGGAAUUCCAGGUGUAGCGGUGAAAUGCGUAGAUAUCAGGAGGAACACCAAUGGCGAAGGCAGCUCGCUGGGACGUGACUGACGCUGAGACGCGAAAGCGUGGGGAGCAAACAGG
rnacentral:rRNA from 1 species